rnacentral:rRNA from 1 species
UACGUAGGGGGCAAGCGUUGUUCGGAAUUACUGGGCGUAAAGGGCGCGUAGGCGGCCUUCUAAGUCGAACGUGAAAUCCCCAGGCUCAACCUGGGAACUGCGUCCGAUACUGGAUGGCUUGAAUUCGGGAGAGGGAUGCAGAAUUCCAGGUGUAGCGGUGAAAUGCGUAGAUAUCUGGAGGAAUACCGGUGGCGAAGGCGGCAUCCUGGACCGACAUUGACGCUGAACGGCGAAAGCUAGGGGAGCAAACGGG